GCUGGUGUAGCUCAGUCGGUAGAGCGAUGGCUUUGUAACCCGUAGGCCGCCGGUUCGAUCCCGGCCACCAGCUCCA
rnacentral:tRNA from 1 species